rnacentral:piRNA from 1 species
UGCUUUCAUGAGCUCCAGCAGAUGCCA